rnacentral:rRNA from 1 species
GACGAACGCUGGCGGCGUGCCUAAUACAUGCAAGUUGAGCGAUGAAGAUUGGUGCUUGCACCAAUUUGAAGAGCAGCGAACGGGUGAGUAACGCGUGGGGAAUCUGCCUUUGAGCGGGGGACAACAUUUGGAAACGAAUGCUAAUACCGCAUAACAAUUUUAAACAUAAGUUUUAAGUUUGAAAGAUGCAAUUGCAUCACUCAAAGAUGAUCCCGCGUUGUAUUAGCUAGUUGGUGAGGUAAAGGCUCACCAAGGCGAUGAUACAUAGCCGACCUGAGAGGGUGAUCGGCCACAUUGGGACUGAGACACGGCCCAAACUCCUACGGGAGGCAGCAGUAGGGAAUCUUCGGCAAUGGACGAAAGUCUGACCGAGCAACGCCGCGUGAGUGAAGAAGGUUUUCGGAUCGUAAAACUCUGUUGGUAGAGAAGAACGUUGGUGAGAGUGGAAAGCUCAUCAAGUGACGGUAACUACCCAGAAAGGGACGGCUAACUACGUG